UAAUUUGUUUAUUAAAAAAGUAAUGAGCAAAUCCUUAAUGGCAUUGAUCUAAGCAGUUAACUACAAAAUAUACAAAUAUGAUGAAAGGACAUGAAGGAUUUUAUGAACAGUAUUAACACCUGUGGAUGCUGAAGAGAUGCACCUGUUUUUGUCAUCAUCAGAUUUCCCCACCAUAGUGAAACCAAAUUGUCGAGUCCGUUUUGGCGUACGCUCCCAUGGGUCCAAUUUCUCCCAUCUGCUCUACCACACAGUCCCAACACCUUAUCCCUGCCUAUCAUAUGUUACCCAUAGCUUACAUAUGAGAGGAAGGGAUAGCUGUUGGGAUUGUGUGGGACAGCAGAGGGGAGGAAAAGACCCACGGGAGCCUACGCCAGACCAGCCUCGACAUAUUUGAAAAGCUAUAGUUGGGAAAUUACUUUGAUUCAGUUGGUGAAAAAAUGUUAAUGAAAGCACACACUUUUUUAAACUUUUUACAGUAUGUCUUUUGCAGCCAGAUUUGUGCACUUCGAUGUCUAGUGACCGAGUGAAAAACUUAAACAAUGAUCUUGUCUGUUUGUGAAAUGGUUCCAUAUAAUGUCAGUCUUUUGUUCCAUGAGUAGGACAGUAACAUUAACCCAGUAGCAGCGACGGGCCAAAUUUGUGCCAUGAUAUAAACCCCAAAAAAUAGAUGAUACAUAAUCUGAUCACAAAUGCGUUGAUAUAUAUUAUGAAAUGGUUUGUGUGAGGGGUGAUUUUUUCUCAUUUUUCUCGCUUGGAGGGACCAUUAAGAAACAUGAUCCCUGCUGCUACCAGGUUAAUUUUAUGCAUUCAAAGGCAUGAAUAUACAGCACAUCACCUCAUGGAUAUAGCUCAAGAUUUAUAAUACAUGAAAUUUCAAAACAACCGAUCUAGAUGUUCUUGCAUUUCUUUAAGUUAGGUUAAAAUGUAUCUUUCAGCAAUAUGGAUUACACAAAAUUCAUCAACCUUAUCGACCGGUAAAUGUUAAGGUCUGUCAACAUUCCACUCCCAGAAAUAACUUACGUAUAAUUCUUUGAAAUAAUUGGCAACUUUAGAUAACUGUCGAAUUCAAUAUUUGGAUCUCUAUCUUAUUUGGCCAUUAACUUUCAUGUGACUUAACCCGGUAGCAGCGACGGGUCAAAUUUGUGGCUUCACCGUGUAGCAGCGACGGGUCAAAUUUGUGGCUUCACCGUGUAGCAGCGACGGGUCAAAUUUGUGGCUUCACCGUGUAGCAGUGACAGGCCAAAUUUGUGGCUUCACCGUGUAGCAGUGACAGGCCAAAUUUGUGGCUUUACCGUGUAGCAGCGACGGGCCAAAUUUGUGGCUUUACCGUGUAGCAGCAACGGGUCAAAUUUGUGGCUUCACCGUGUAGCAGCGACGGGUCAAAUUUGUGGCUUUACCGUGUAGCAGCAACGGGCCAAAUUUGUGGCUUCACCGUGUAGCAGCGACGGGCCAAAUUUGUGGCUUUACUGUAUAGCAGCGACGGGGCAAAUUUGUGGCUUUACCGUGUAGCAGCGACGGGUCAAAUUUGUGGCUUCACCGUGUAGCAGCGACGGGCCAAAUUUGUGGCUUUACCGUGUAGCAGCGACGGGCCAAAUUUGUGGCUUUACCAUGUAGCAGCGACGGGUCAAAUUUGUGGCUUUACCGUGUAGCAGCAACGGGCCAAAUUUGUGGCUUUGCCGUGUAGCAGUGACGGGCCAAAUUUGUGCCAUGAUAUAAACCCCCAAAAUAGAUGAUACAUAAAUUGAUCACAAAUGCUUUUAUAUAUAUUAUGAAAUGGUUUGUGUGAGGGGUGAUUUUUUCUCAUUUUUCUCGCUUAGAGGGACCAUUAAGAAACAUGAUCCCCGCUGCUACUGGGUUAAAAACACUUUGCUUUUAGCCAAUGAUAAUUCUUUAGACUAUUCUCUGGCAGGAAUGUCGGUGUUUCAUGAGAAAAAUCAUUUAUGCACCUAAUUUGAAUGUCUUUUGGAUGCAUCCCUAAUUUAAGUACCUAGCAACAGUGCCAACAAACUCCAUCAAAAUUACUUCAAUUAAAAUUUGGUCCCAAAGAAUAUGCUUGCCAAAAUUAUAUUAACCCUUUCCAUCCGUGACGCAAACAUCGGCAUCACAGUAUGGAAAGGAUCAAGAGGAAAUGAGAGGGGAUUAAUCCUCUUCUGAACCUCUCAAUCCUCCUCUGAAUUCCUCUUAAUCCUUUUCCAUUUCCUCUUGAGAUGUUUAGAAGAGGAUUAAGAGGAAGAACCCCUACGCUUACUACAAGUCUUGAUAAUUGUAUGCUAAUCUGUUUUAAGGAUUUAUAUUUCGUCACAACCAAAGGGUAAAAAAAAUAUAAAGUACAUUGAUUUGAGAGAGAUUUGGUGACAAGAAAAAAUGCUGAAUUUGCAAAUAUCUCGGGGUUGUUUUUACACCAAUUAACUUCAGAAAAAAAAAUACAAAGGUUGACAUUUCAUCUGGGAGAGUCCUGAGGUUGGUGAGGUGACGAAAGUAAGGUUUGGGGCAUGCACUGAAGCUGUGUGUCCCGUCAUUUCCCUCGCCUUGGUCCUUAAGAUUUUGGUGGGUGAGAAACAUUGCCUCGGGACACAAAAUAAGGGAGAGUCUUGAGGUUGGUGAGGCGACAGAAGGAAGGUUUGGGGCAUACACUGAAGCUGUGUGUCCCGUCAUUUCCGUCGCCUCGGUCCUAAGAUUUUGGUGGGUGAGAAACAUUGCCUCGGGACACAAAAUAAGGGAGAGUCUUGAGGUUGGUGAGGCGACAGAAGUAAGGUUUGGGGCAUGCACUGUAGCUGUGUGUCCUUAAGAUUUUGGUGGGUGAGAAAGAAUUGCCUCGGGACACAAAAUAAGGGAGAGUCUUGAGGUUGGUGAGGCGACAGAAGUAAGGUUUGGGGCAUGCACUGAAGCUGUGUGUCCUUAAGAUUUUGGUGGGUGAGAAACAUUGCCUCGGGACACAAAAUAAGGGAGAGUCUUGAGGUUGGUGAGGCGACAGAAGUAAGGUUUGGGGCAUACACUGAAGCUGUGUGUCCCGUCAUUUCCUUCGCCUCGGUCUUAAGAUUUUGGUGGGUGAGAAACAUUGCCUCGGGACACAAAAUAAGGGAGAGUCUUGAGGUUGGUGAGGCGACAGAAGUAAGGUUUGGGGCAUACACUGAAGCUGUGUGUCCCGUCAUUUCCCUCGCCUUGGUCCUUAAGAUUUUGGUGGGUGAGAAACAUUACCUCGGGACACAAAAUAAGGGAGAGUCUUGAGGUUGGUGAGGCGACAGAAGUAAGGUUUGGGGCAUGCACUGUAGCUGUGUGUCCUUAAGAUUUUGGUGGGUGAGAAAGAAUUACCUCGGGACACAAAAUAAGGGAGAGUCUUGAGGUUGGUGAGGCGACAGAAGUAAGGUUUGGGGCAUGCACUGUAGCUGUGUGUCCCGUCAUUUCCCUCGCCUUGGUCCUUAAGAUUUUGGUGGGUGAGAAACAUUACCUCGGGACACAAAAUAAGUCGUGUUAAUACAAUGUUCUUCUCUAAAUACCUUAAACACAUUGCUUUUCCAUCCUGCAAGUGAAUAUAAAAGAUACGUUCAAUAGUUAAUAAAUAAAUAAAUAGUGAUUGGCAGCAGCUUGGUUUAAAAAUUCUUAUGUAUGAAAAUAUGAUUACUUAUACUAAUGAAAAAAUUUAAUCCAGCAGACUGUUGAACAAGUACGCAAGGCUGGUGUUACAAAGUGCUUCACAGUGGUACAAGGAUAACAUUGGUACAAGGAUAACAUUGGUACAGGCAGAAACGUCAAGGAAGGAUCGCACCUCUCCGUGGUAAGUGACCUUUUUUGUAAGAUCCUUGGCUCCUGAGCUGUCAAAUUACAUUGCAGGAUUGGUGAUUUUUGUUUUAAUUGCUUUGAACUUUUUCACACAAGACCAAAAAACCAAAAUGCAGGAUUGGUGAUUUUUGUUUUAAUUGCUUUCAACUUUUUCACACAAGACCAAAAAACCAAAAUGCAGGAUUGGUGAUUUUUGUUUUAAUUGCUUUUAACUUUUUCACACAAGACCAAAAAAACAAAACCCAAAAAAACAAAUUGUCGAGUCUGUUUGGGCAUAGGCUACCGUGGGUCCAUUCCUCCCCUCUGCUCUGCCACACAGUCCCAACACCUCUACCUUACAUAUGAGAGGAAGGGAUAGCUGUUAGGAUUGUGUGGCAGAGCAGAAGGGAGGAACGGACCCGUGGGAGCCUACGCCCAAACGAACUCGACAAUUUGGUUGGACUAUUGAUACAUGUAAUUUUCAUUCAUCAUGUUUUAGCAAAAGGUCUAUUAUUCUCUGCACUGAUUUGCAUGGAUGGUAUUACAGUGUCUACCAGGAUAAGAAUGGUACAGGCAGAAACCUCAGUGGUAAAUGACCUCAAAAUAUAUUUAGUAUCAACUGUUAAUUCUAUAAGCUGUCUGGGUUGGUUAACAUAUCAAUAUCAACUGUUGGUUUUAAAAGCUGUCUGGGUUGGGUAACAUAGCAAUGCAGAGAAUAACUAACCUUAACCAAAAACAAGAUAAAUGAAAAUCACAUGUAUCUUUUAUCGCAAAAACAAGAUAAAUGAAAAUCACACGUAUCUUUUAUCGCAAAAACAAGAUAAAUGAAAAUCACAUGUAUCUUUUAUCGCAAAAACAAGAUAAAUGAAAAUCACAUGUAUCUUUUAUCAUCAGUUUCUCGUCAUCCACUUAUAUCAUCCAGGGCAAUUCUAAUUAUCUCCUUCAUCAACUCUCAAGCUAGUCAGAUUUAAGAUAAGUAGAAACCCAAUAACUGCAGUGGAUUGUAUUUCUGAAGACUAUGCUGAUGGUAACUUUUAAAUUUUGCAAGUUGAAGUUAUGUCGCUCAGGAAUACAAUUUAACCCGGUAGCAACGACGGGCCAAAUUUGUGGCUUUACCGUGUAGCAGCGACAGGGCAAAUUUGUGGCUUUACCGUGUAGCAGCGACGGGGCCAAUUUGUGGCUUUACCGUGUAGCAGCGACGGGCCAAAUUUGUGCCAUGAUAUAAACCCCCCAAAAUAGAUGAUGCAUAAUCUGAUCACAAAUGCUUUGAUAUAUAUUAUGAAAUGGUUUGUGUGAGGGGUGAUUUUUUCUCAUUUUUCUCGCUUGGAGGGACCAUUAAGAAACAUGAUCCCUGCUGCUACUGGGUUAAAUAUGUCCAGGUUUUGACAGAGAUAGAUUUGUUGCAAGGUAUUUAGAUAUUUUCAGAUCUAUUUUACCUAUCCUUCUGAGUACUGUCAAAACACUCAAAAAGAUAGAGUUGGGGUUUUAUGCUAUAGCUAUGCAUGGGCUUUAGCCUAUGUAAGAACCCAUUAGUUUGGAACACAGGGGAGGUGUGAUAUUUGAAUUACCAGUGAAACCAAAUUGUCGAGUCUGCUUGGGUUGAGCCUCCCAUUGGUCCUUUCCUCCCCUUUGCUCGGCCACACAGUCCCAAUACCAAUCUCUUCCUCUCAUAUGUAAGGUAAGGAAAAAAUAGGUGUUUGGACUGUGUGGCAGAGCAGAGGGGAGGAAUGGACCAGCGGGAGCCUAUGCCCAAACAGACUCGACAAUUUGAUUUCACUUUAGGUUCACGCAGGUAUCCACUUAUCAACCAACCUGAGAGGGAGGGCGAACAGCCUGAGCCAGGAUUCGAACCUGGGCCUGCAGAUUCUUAGCUUGGCGUACUAACUGCGUCACCAUGGAAGCUAGAUAAAAUGACAGAGAAAAGUCUAAGAGAUACUGAAACAGCUCCAGGGAAGUGAGUGACCACCUCGUACUAGUUAUCUCCCAAAUAAUAAUUAACUGAUAACAAGUUUUGGCAAAGACAUCAGAGUAAGCCAGUCUCUUUAGCAGAAUUUACUUGCAAAAUACACAAGACAUUUCAAACAUAUACACUGGACCCUUGAUUUCCAGGAUAUCAGAUACUCGACCCUUGAUUUCCAGGAUAUCAGAUACACUGGACCCUUGAUUUCCAGGAUAUCAGAUACACUCGACCCUUGAUUUCCAGGAUAUCAGAUACACUCGACCCUUGAUUUCCAGGAUAUCAGAUACUCGACCCUUGAUUUCCAGGAUAUCAGAUACACUGGACCCUUGAGUUCCAGGAUAUCAGAUACACUUGACCCUUGAGUUCCAGGAUAUCAGAUACACUUGACCCUUGAGUUCCAGGAUAUCAGAUACACUUGACCCUUGAGUUCCAGGAUAUCAGAUACACUUGACCCUUGAUUUCCAGGAUAUCAGAUACACUGGACCCUUGAGUUCCAGGAUAUCAGAUACACUUGACCCUUGAGUUCCAGGAUAUCAGAUACACUUGACCCUUGAGUUCCAGGAUAUCAGAUACACUUGACCCUUGAUUUCCAGGAUAUCAGAUACACUUGACCCUUGAGUUCCAGGAUAUCAGAUACACUUGACCCUUGAGUUCCAGGAUAUCAGAUACUCGACCCUUGAGUUCCAGGAUAUCAGAUACACUUGACCCUUGAUUUCCAGGAUAUCAGAUACACUUGACCCUUGAGUUCCAGGAUAUCAGAUACACUUGACCCUUGAGUUCCAGGAUAUCAGAUACACUUGACCCUUGAGUUCCAGGAUAUCAGAUACUCGACCCUUGAGUUCCAGGAUAUCAGAUACUUGACCCUUGAUUUCCAGGAUAUCAGAUACACUGGACCCUUGAGUUCCAGGAUAUCAGAUACACUGGACCCUUGAUUUCCAGGAUAUCAGAUACACUGGACCCUUGAUUUCCAGGAUAUCAGAUACACUUGACCCUUGAGUUCCAGGAUAUCAGAUACACUGGACCCUUGAUUUCCAGGAUAUCAGAUACACUUGACCCUUGAUUUCCAGGAUAUCAGAUACACUUGACCCUUGAUUUCCAGGAUAUCAGAUACACUUGACCCUUGAUUUCCAGGAUAUCAGAUACACUCGACCCUUGAUUUCCAGGAUAUCAGAUACACUUGACCCUUGAUUUCCAGGAUAUCAGAUACACUCGACCCUUGAUUUCCAGGAUAUCAGAUUUCUCGUACAAAAUCUUGGGUCCAGUAAUAGGCCCACUUAACAUUACCAAGUGUGGGGUACAACUUGGCGGAGGGGCUGUGUUUGUGCCCUGAACUUUUAGCACAUUGUCCAGCAUGUUGAAGUAGGACAUCUGAGAGAUUAGCUAAAACACGUUAUCUGAAAACUUCCAUGAAACGUCAACAAAGAUGGUUACAUAGUGUCCGCCAUUUUGGGCUGCCUUGUCUGGAAAAUCUGAUAUCCAGGAAAUCCAGAGUAGUGUAUAUAUGUGUAUGUAUAUGUGUGUGUGUGUUUAUGUGUAUAUACAAGAUAAGCAGACACUGGGGGGUCAAUGCAUACCUUCCAUUCUGAUGUUAGUAUAUCUUGACUGUGUUGAAAUCGCUGAUAUCGUCAGGAAUAUUUAUGGUUAAAAUAGAAAAUUCUCUGAGGCAACAGAUAAAACCAUUGAAUGUUGCAGAUUAAAGCUGUAAUUGACAUUUUGAUCCGACACAAGGGGAAAUAGCAGAUGGUUUAGAUUCUUCUUAAUUAUCAACGUAUCAAAAUAUUUAGAUUCCAACCACUUAAGCCGGGAUUUCACGGGAACGAUUUUGCUCGGGACCUUCGGGUGGUGACUUUUGCUGAGGGAACAGACACGCACUAAUCACACGGGGAUGCUGCGUUGGAUGGGCAUUAGGCAAUCUUGGUCUUGAUCUUGACUUUCAGGGAGUAGCGGGCUUUUUUUUAUUAAUGUUUACUUUUUUGAGCCCUUGAGCUGUCUCCUUUGCUGUAAAAAAAAAAAAAAAAAAAAAUAUCUACUUUCAAAUAAAAAUAGAUGUUGAUUAAUUUGUCGGUCAUAUUGUUUUAAUAAAGUUAUUUUUACGCCGAAAAACAUUCAUUUACAAUCAAUACACGCCUCACCCUUCCUCACCUCACCUGGAUGAAUGAGAUGAAUUUAAGAGUUUUUCAUGUGAUACAAAUACGGUUGGAGGUUUAAAUGUUACGUUAAAGUUUUAAAGACAGGGAAGGCAGAAGGUGAAUGAAUAACAAGUGUUCAGUUUAGUAUUGUGGAGCGUAAACAUUGGAUUGCAAAAGGCUUAAUCAGAACCCAACAAGGAAUAAAUAAGAUAUAUGCAAAGUCCCUACCUAUAAAUAUUCAAUGUAGUAUAGAGAGAGAGAGAGAGGAGAGAGGAGAGAGAGCGAGGGCUAUCUUUUUUUUUCUUUUACAGUAGAGGAAGCAUUUCAAGGGCAAACCAAAACAACAAUAAUAAUAAUAAAAAGCCCGCUACUCACUGCUCCUAAAUAGAGUUAGAGGAGUGCCCGAAAGAGAGGUCAGUUUCGGGAGGAGAGGUGUCCUGAUACCCUCCUCUUGAAAGAGUUCAAGUCGUAGGCAGGAGGAAAUACAGAUGAAGGAAGAUCGCUCCAGAGUUCCAGGCAUAAAGGAGUCUGAGGAAUAUGCUAAGAAUCGUCCAGAGUGGAGUUGUUACAGAAAGUUUGGGUGAAGAGUUCAGCCUUAGAGAUAGAUGAGACGGCAGUGCAGUCAGGGUUAAGAAGAGGAGGGAAAGAGGAAGUCAAGGUUAAGAAGAGGAGGGAAACAGGAAGAAGUGAAAUUGGAGGAGAUAUUUUUAGCCAGGUGCCGGAAGUCAUGGAAAGAAUUAGAAAAAGCAAGGUUUUGACAAGUCGAAGAAUAGAUUUGGCACGAUUCUGGGUGGAAAUGUAAAGAUCUAUAAACUACUAUAAAUAAACUAUCCAUGAAGCGACAUAUAAACAUUCAAAGUAGUACAAAAAAGUGGAGAGAGAGAGAGAUGAGAGAGAGAGAGAGAGAGAUGAGAGAGAGAUGAGAUGAGAGAGAGAGAGAUGAGAGUGAGUUUGAAGCUGACGUCAUUGAGGUGGGAGGAGUGAGAACCAGCCAGCGAGUCAGCGUGAAGCGAGGUGCCCGUGCUAACAUGAGCGGUCUGUGUGAGAAGCAGAAAACAGCUCCAGCCUGCCCGCUCUAGUACCCCCUAUGGUUCAUGAGCAGAGUCCCACCUGUCAGCAUUUCCUUACCGACGGGGCUGCUCAUCCAAAAUCGUUCCCGUGAAAUACCCUCUUCAAGUACUUCCCUGAACAUUCACAGCAAUCAUAAGCCUCCUCAUUCAUGCAGUUAUCAAAUAUCUUCAUCCUAUAUAAUUGUCCAUAUUAAGAAUUAACUGAUGAAGCAUGUGUUUUCAAAUUACAGCGUAUAUUUCAAGAACAACCUUGUCAUUUAAAAAGAUAAAUAGCAUCAAUUAAAACCAUGACAGGAGACAGACAGCAGACAUUUAAAAAUACAACUUUCGAAAUGAAGAAGAAAUAUAAAUGCAAGUCCUUCCUUCAAGUUUCAAGCAUGUCAUAAACUAAUUUUUGUAACGCACCAGGUCAAUGAAGACACUUUUAACCACUUUAACCCGGUAGCAGCGACGGGCCAAAUUUGUGGCUUUACCGUGUAGCAGCGACGGGCCAAGUUUGUGGCUUUACCGUGUAGCAGCGACGGGCCAAAUUUGUGGCUUUACCGUGUAGCAGCGACGGGCCAAAUUUGUGCCAUGAUAUAAACCCCCAAAAAAUAGAUGAUACAUAAUCUGAUCACAAAUGCUUUGAUAUAUAUUAUGAAAUGGUUUGUGUGAGGGGUGAUUUUUUCUCAUUUUUCUCGCUUGGAGGGACCAUUAAGAAACAUGAUCCCUGCUGAUACCGGGUUAAAGAGUCCUCGAAAAAUGAAUUUACCUGCGAUCAUAUCUUAAAGGACACAUUUUUAAUAGCAGUUUCUGGGGCAGUGUAAACAACUUUUCAACUUCUACAUCACUUCCAGACUCUGGUUCGGUGAGGAGAAUCGGAGGGAGAUCAUCUUGGUUACAGCAAAUCACGGCUGGCCGAGGAGGAGCCCUGGCACAGUGUUGGGGUGUGGGGGUUUAAGGCCACUGUCCAACACUCUCCAGCGGCAGCAGUGACGGGGCAACUUAACGCUAACACAGAACAGCACAACAACAACACCAGACUGAACGCUCAAUGCUCGCCUCCACGUCUUCAUCGUCAAGAUCGUCCUCCGCCAGAUCUGCCCCGUCGUCAUAAGCCGUCGAGAAGGAGAGUUUGGUGUAGUGAGGAGAUGCGUGUUGGCCUGAGGAGGUGUGGGGAGUGGUCGUCCUCCUUGUGUCACAACUGGUUCGAGCUGACGAGUCUGUAGAUUAAAUGACAUUAAAAAAUUUAGCACAAGA